UACGGGGGGAGCAAGCGUUGUUCGGAUUUACUGGGCGUAAAGGGCGCGUAGGCGGCCUCCGCAAGUCAGUUGUGAAAUCUCCGAGCUUAACUCGGAAAGGUCAACUGAUACUGCGGGGCUAGAGUGCGGAAGGGGCAACUGGAAUUCUUGGUGUAGCGGUGAAAUGCGUAGAUAUCGGGAGGAACACCAGUGGCGAAGGCGGCUCACUGGCCCGAUACUGACGCUGAGGCACGAAAGCGUGGGGAGCAAACAGG
rnacentral:rRNA from 1 species